rnacentral:lncRNA from 1 species
AAUAAUCAAGAAGAGGUUUCAUUCAUCGGAGAUGGUGCUAAAUAUCAUCAAGAUCUCCCAUGUCAGCCCCUAUGCAGAUUCAUUAUAUGACCCACUCGUUGUCCCACUCACUUUCUUCGACCUAAAGUGGCUAAAAGAUUCUGUACAGCAAGUCGUCUUCUACAAACUCACCGAGUCAUCAUCAUCACGCAAGUUCUUCUACUCCGUGAUCAUCCCUAAACUCGAGGCAUCUCUUUCUCUUGUUCUCGGUCACUUCCUCCCCCUUGCGGGUCACGUCACUUGGAACCCGCAAGAUCCUAAGCCUUGCAUCGUCGUGUUCCCGCACGACACUGUCACGUUGACAGUGUCUGAGAGCGAGGAAGAUUUCAGCAGUGUUUCAGGCAAGGGAAAACGUCUCGCGAGCGAGACACGUGCCCUGGUCACCGAGUUUCCGGCUUCUUGUGACUCGCCGUGUGUCCUUUCUUUACAAGUUACCUUGUUCCCUAACCAAGGGUUCUGUAUAGGCAUAACAGCAAACCAUGCGGUCAUGGAUGGCAAAACGGUAGUGAAUUUUUAUAAAUCAUGGGCUCAUAUCUGUAAAUCACAAACACAUGGAAAUAUAUUAUUACCUGAUGAUUUAACUCCCAGUUUAGACCGCACGAUCAUCAAUGUCCCUGCUUAUCUUGAAGCCAAGAUGUUGGUUCUUCAAGGUGAAAGAACCCUCAAGAUCCCUCAAGCUGGAGAGAUCGGCCAUGACAUAUUCAGGAUCACGCUUGAGUUGACUCUGGAAAACGUAGAGAAACUUAGGGAGAGAGCUAAGAGCGAGUCAACUCGCUCUCAUUCUGAGCUUCACUUGUCCACGUUCGUUUUGGCUUACGCCUACAUGUGGACUUGCUUGGUGAAGACGCAUGGAGGCCAAGGGGAAAGACCGGUUCGUCUCAUGUAUGCUGCUGACUUUAGGAACCGGUUAGACCCGCCGGUUCAUGAGGGAUACUUAGGAAACUGUGUGUUCCCCAUCGGUUGCUUCGGACACAAAGCUAAGACGUUUUUGGGAGAAGAUGGAUUUGUCAAAGCUGUCGAGAUCCUCGGCGACUCGGUCAAAGGUUUGAGUUUAUUAGGGAUUGAGCAACUUUGCGAGUUGUACGUGGAUGGAAAGAAGAGAGUGAAACCGGGUACACAGCUGGGGACUAUUGCAGGUUCAAACCGGUUUGGGCUAUAUGGUUCGGAUUUCGGGUGGGGAAAACCCGUUAAUACUGAGUUCGUUUCGAUAGACAGGAAUGAAGCGUUCUCGAUGUCGGAGAGAGAUAUGUCCGGUGGUGUGCAGGUCGGUUUGUGUUUGAAGAAACAUGAGAUGCAUGUUUUUAUUUCUUUGUUUAAUGAUGGAUUGGUAAAUUAAAUAUUUUUCUGGCUUUUAUGACUUUCUCUUGUUUGAGAUCUUGUAAUGUAAUUUUUUCUUGUAAUGUACCUAUAUAUGCAAAGUGUCAAAGCAGAGAAAGUGAUAUUUUCAAAUUAAAUGAAAACUUUGAAAAUUUAUAAAAAUCCCUAUGGAAAUAGGGAUCCCAUGAAAAUAUCUCACAUAUCUGUUAAUUCAAUUCUGUUUUAAAUAAAAACUUAAUUAUAAAUUAAUUUUAUUUAAAUAUAAAUUUUACUUUUUGUUGGAAAAAUCUCUUUUGGAUUCCCAUGGAUAAGGAUGGAGAUGCUAUAAAAAGUUUACAUUCAUCAUUGCUGGAAAAAAUAAUCAAGAAGAGGUUUCAUUCAUCGGAGAUGGUGCUAAAUAUCAUCAAGAUCUCCCAUGUCAGCCCCUAUGCAGAUUCAUUAUAUGACCCACUCGUUGUCCCACUCACUUUCUUCGACCUAAAGUGGCUAAAAGAUUCUGUACAGCAAGUCGUCUUCUACAAACUCACCGAGUCAUCAUCAUCACGCAAGUUCUUCUACUCCGUGAUCAUCCCUAAACUCGAGGCAUCUCUUUCUCUUGUUCUCGGUCACUUCCUCCCCC